GGUUCUCUCCGAAAUAGCUUUAGGGCUAGCCUCAAGUGAUGAUUAUUGGAGGUAGAGCACUGUUUGGACGAGGGGCCCCUCUCGGGUUACCGAAUUCAGACAAACUCCGAAUGCCAAAUAAUUUAACUUGGGAGUCAGAAUGUGGGUGAUAAGGUCCAUAUUCGAAAGGGAAACAGCCCAGACCACCAGCUAAGGUCCCAAAAUAUAUGUUAAGUGGAAAAGGAUGUGGCGUUGCCCAGACAACUAGGAUGUUGGCUUAGAAGCAGCCAUCAUUUAAAGAGUGCGUAAUAGCUCACUAGUCGAGUGACACUGCGCCGAAAAUGUACCGGGGCUAAACAUAUUACCGAAGCUGUGGAUUGUCCUUUGGACAAUGGUAGGAGAGCGUUCUAAGG
rnacentral:rRNA from 1 species